UACAGAGGUCCCAAGCGUUGUUCGGAUUCACUGGGCGUAAAGGGUGCGUAAGCGGUCGGGUAAGUCUGACGUGAAAUCUUCAAGCUUAACUUGGAAACUGCGUCGGAUACUAUUCGGCUGGAGGAAUGGAGGGGAGACUGGAAUACUUGGUGUGGCAGUGAAAUGCGUAGAUAUCAAGUGGAACACCAGUGGCGAAGGCGAGUCUCUGGACAUUUCCUGACGCUGAGGCACGAAAGCCAGGGGAGCAAACGGG
rnacentral:rRNA from 1 species